rnacentral:lncRNA from 1 species
AUGUUGGGCAUUUAUUGUGAAAGGAACUACGGCCCUACUGCUGCGCCUGUUGGUGCUGAGUUUCCGCUGCAUACAUGUCCAAUUAGCUUCGUUGAGCUAGCUAUUCAGGGACAUCUCUGGCCGCGGACUGCUGUGACCGUGCCAGACAAGGAUCGGAGCUUAAGUGCAAUCGAACGAUAUACAUGCAGCGAUUUGCUCCAGAUCAAGCUGGUCUGCAUCGCGUGGAUCCAUUUAUCUGAUCAAGCCAAUAGUAGGAUUGUGCGUCCGGAUCCAUUUGCACGGUCGGUUCAUUUGACGAAAUUAUGAUGAAUAUUGUUGGCUAUAUUUUCACUGACCCUCACUCAAACCAGAGCUGGCUGGUUUUUGCACAAUGUUAUGCAGUUGUGUGAUUAGGCUAUGCUAUGCGAACUCCCAUUGUAGCUUAAGAAAUGCGUUACAAUGUAGCCUGUAUAGCUUAAUAUGUAGCCAUUGAGGCCAGUGAUUGGUUAAACGUGGGGCUGGAACAGAGGUUUUUAGCCCAAAUGCCACCAAACCUAACGUAGCAGGCGUAAGACAAACCGCCCAUUGUCAAAGUUCAAUUUUAGAAUGAGAUAACAAAUAUCAUCAAAUCAAUGCUGCCUUUGUAUUAGGGCUUCAGCCUAUUGUUGUAUUGGAUUUGACUCACCGGCUGUCUGACUGAUUGACAUUUUGUCAGAAGAAGACAGAUUUAUAACAACUGUUUGUUGUUUGUGAGUAACCAAUAAGACAUAUUUGCUACAGACUGAUUGUUGUGUGUGUGUGUGUGUGUGUGUGUGUGUGUGUGUGUGUGUGUGUGUGUGUGAGACCACCAUAAGGAGGCACCCAUCAGUCGUGCUUAUGCAUUGAGUUAUUAUGGCCUGUAUCCAUUGAAUUGAGCUAUCUCGUGAGAACCCCGUGAACCUUAAUUCAAUUUAAAGAUACAGUAGCGCCUCUCAUAGACAUUCUACAGCCGCCAGCCAGAGUCUAUGGAAUACCUGUGUUUUAUCGUUACUCCUGAAGCCAUCUGGUGCAAUUUCAUCAACCAGUAGUAGACCCGUGCACGAGCUACACAAAUACCUUUGCAGUUUCUCACAUAACGGGUUACAGACAGAGAAAUGCGUUUCAAAAUGUCCCCUUUUACAUCUGCAGCAAAGUGGAACUGGAUGGAUACAACACUGGAUACAUUGUAACAACGGGUUCAGACUGGGUUACAUUGUAACAACGGGUUCAGACGGGGUUACAUUGUAACAACGGGUUAAUAGAAUCCAUUUCAGACGGGGUUACAUUGUAACAACGGGUUAAUAGAAUCCAUUUCAGACUGGGUUACAUUGUAACAACGGGUU